rnacentral:rRNA from 1 species
AUACGUAGGGGGCGAGCGUUGUCCGGAAUGAUUGGGCGUAAAGGGCGCGUAGGCGGCCCGGUAAGUCUGGAGUGAAAGUCCUGUUUUUAAGAUGGGAAUUGCUUUGGAUACUGUCGGGCUUGAGUGCAGGAGGGGUAAGUGGAAUUCCCAGUGUAGCGGUGAAAUGCGUAGAGAUUGGGAGGAACACCAGUGGCGAAGGCGACUUACUGGACUGUAACUGACGCUGAGGCGCGAAAGUGUGGGGAGCAAACAGGAUUAGAUACCCUGGUAGUCCACACUGUAAACGAUGAAUGCUAGGUGUAGGGGGUAUCGACCCCUUCUGUGCCGCAGUCAACACAAUAAGCAUUCCGCCUGGGGAGUACGGCCGCAAGGUUGAAACUCAAAUGAAUUGGCGGGG